rnacentral:rRNA from 1 species
GAUGAACGCUGACAGAAUGCUUAACACAUGCAAGUCCACUUGAAUUUGGGUUUUUAACUUAGGUUUGGGUGGCGGACGGGUGAGUAACGCGUAAAGAACUUGCCUCACAGCUAGGGACAACAUUUGGAAACGAAUGCUAAUACCUAAUAUUAUGAUAAUAGGGCAUCCUAUAAUUAUGAAAGCUAUAAGCGCUGUGAGAGAGCUUUGCGUCCCAUUAGCUAGUUGGAGAGGUAACGGCUCACCAAGGCGAUGAUGGGUAGCCGGCCUGAGAGGGUGAUCGGCCACAAGGGGACUGAGACACGGCCCUUACUCCUACGGGAGGCAGCAGUGGGGAAUAUUGGACAAUGGACCGAGAGUCUGAUCCAGCAAUUCUGUGUGCACGAUGAAGUUUUUCGGAAUGUAAAGUGCUUUCAGUUGGGAAGAAACAAAUGACGGUACCAACAGAAGAAGAGACGGCUAAAUACGUG